CAGUUAACGAAACUCAAGCCCAUGCCCUUUCAGUUGAGAUUUUACGUUUCGAACCAGAAUACAAAACUCAGUCUAAGUGGGUUAUAGGAUAGCUAGUGAUAACGUAAUUUAUCUUUUUAUUUUGCUUUUUUGUUAUAACGUAAUUUAUUAGGUAAAUGUAUGGAGUGUGAGAGUGUGCGCUGUGUGUAUAAGAUGCAUGGGGGGUUAGGCUAAGCUAAAGGAAUUACAAUUUUGAGAGCAUAUUGAAAGAGAAAAUAUAUCUUUUCUGAACAAAACAACUAAUUUCCUAACAUCAGCAAAAUUUUUUGAGUUCCGUUAUUUAAACCAAAACUAUAAUAAAGCCAUAUAGAAGGAAAAAUCCGGAUUUCAAGGUUUCGUAUAUUUGUCACUUAUUUCAUGUAUAUAGGCAAGUCAGAAACUCACCUGUUUGUGUAUGCGGUCUUUCUUAAUCGUCAACCUUCAAUUUAUCCCGUUUGCGUUUGGCCUAAAAUGUUAUAGAAAAUAUACAUAAUUAAAUAAUUAUGUAUAUUUUGCCAAAAUUUUAAUACCUUCAGUUUUAAGGGUGGGCAGUUUGGGUUGGUGGCAGGUUGGGCAGUUGUGAGUGUCUGUGUGAUGGCGAGGAAAGCGGAAGUUACGAAUGGAAUGCAGGUAGCUUAGGAACGAGGCAGACAGUGUAGGACCGAGGCAGAUAGCUUAGAACUGAGGCAGGUAGGCAGUUGGUAGGAAUCAGUGGGGGGCACUUGUCAUUUCGGCCAUGGGAUUCAAAAUUUGCAUGUUGAGUAUUUGUUACUAAUGCUUGUUGUUUUAGAUUUGCUAGGUAUGCGCGUGGCUGCUCUCAAGAGAAGAUCAACUUAGCAAUUUGCAUUAGCAUAUUUGCAAGGUUGGUCUUCUCUUCGCCCCGCUACCCCGGCUGGCUCUCCGAGUGCUGCCUCUACUUUAAGUAGAAGUACUUCUACUAUAUUGUAGAAGCACUUCUGCUUGAAGUGGAGGUAGCACUUGGGGAGCCGGCCGGGGUAGAGGGAUUUUUUUUAUUUUUUAUUUCAAUUCCCAUGGGAAUUGAAUUUUUAAUUAAAAAGGAGUCUCUUGUAUAAUUAAUGACAAUUUAUUGAAAAGAACUUGUAAAUCUUACAAUUUGAAUAACAAUAAAAAGAGAACAACCACUGCAUACUGUACUUAUUUAAAUAACAAUAGAAGAAAACAGAACAUGGCACAAAGAGAACAAUUAACAUUGUGUUCAACACAAGUGAAAACACAACAUUAAUUAAACAUGUUUACCCGUGAAUUAACAUUCAAAAAGUUAAUUCUUGAGGAAACAAGAGAACUUGGUCUUUUCAAGAUAAAUGUUUAUACUUCAAAAUAAAUAUUGUAAAACAACUCUAAUAAUGAUAAAUUUUACGAGUUUGACGGAGAAAUCCAAAGCGUAACACCAGGUUGUUUUACAAAGAAAAUAUAUGGCUCAAAGACAAAGUAGAUCGAACAUGCUUUUACUUUUUUGGAUACGAAUUAAGUGUUUUUGGUAAAGUGAACAAAACGUUUCACUUGAGUAUGGAAAAUAAUGAUUUUAUCGCGAUGUUUAGAUGCUAAGAGAAGUCAAUUCGUUGUAAUGCGAGAUAAGACAUUGUCAUUGACAACAAAUUCUAUUGCUUGAAGCAAAUUAAUUUCCUCAAAGUGCCUUAUACUUCAUUAAACUCAGAAAUGAUAUUUUUAAACAUCGUAAUACUUCCAUACUCAAUUGAACAUAUAUAAGAACAUUUUUUCACGCCAAAUCGAAAAAUAUUUAAAAUUUGAAAUUAUCCCGGUCUUUUGGAGCCAUAUAUUUUUUGAGCGUCGUUUUUAACCUGACAACUUUGAAUUGAUUAUAUAUAAUGUUAAUACUAAUUCAAGUGAUGAAAAUGCAG